GUUCUAAUUGAAUUAGGUUGACAUGAGCCUGGGCUUACUACUAGUUGGAUGUGAAAUCCAAUGGAUCACAUACAAAAAAAAAUUGAUCAAAGACUUAUAAUUAGGCUUUAGAGGACUUAAUUUAGAUUUGAUUGAAAUCCCAAAGGAUUUAGAAUAUACAUGCUAGUACAUAUUUAAAUCUUUGAAUCCCCAUCAACUUGGACUCCUAAUUGGAUAAGGAUUUGAUCUCCACGCCCCUUAAGAAAGCAUGCCAAGGGUUGGUGCACCAAUUGAUUUCUUACGUGAAAGUGUUCAUGUUUGAAGAGAAAGCACACCCAUAUAUCCUCCAC
rnacentral:lncRNA from 1 species